rnacentral:rRNA from 1 species
GAACGCUGGCGGCGUGCCUAAUACAUGCAAGUCGAACGGUCUUUCUAUGGAAGCUUGCUUCCACUGAGAAGAUAGUGGCGAACGGGUGAGUAACACGUGGGUAACCUGCCCAUAAGAGGGGGAUAACAUCCGGAAACGGGUGCUAAUACCGCAUAGUUUUCUUGAUCGCAUGAUUGAGAAAGGAAAGACGGCCUUUGUGCUGUCGCUUAUGGAUGGACCCGCGGCGUAUUAGUUAGUUGGUGAGGUAAUGGCUCACCAAGACGAUGAUACGUAGCCGACCUGAGAGGGUGAUCGGCCACAUUGGGACUGAGACACGGCCCAAACUCCUACGGGAGGCAGCAGUAGGGAAUCUUCCGCAAUGGACGAAAGUCUGACGGAGCAACGCCGCGUGAGUGAAGAAGGUUUUCGGAAUCGUAAAACUCUGUUGUCAGAGAAGAACAAGUUGGAGAGUAACUGCUCCAGCCUUGACGGUAUCUGACCAGAAAGCCACGGCUAACUACGUGCCAGCAGCUGC